rnacentral:rRNA from 1 species
GACGAACGCUGGCGGCGUGCCUAAUACAUGCAAGUAGAACGCUGAAGAGAGGAGCUUGCUCUUCUUGGAUGAGUUGCGAACGGGUGAGUAACGCGUAGGUAACCUGCCUUGUAGCGGGGGAUAACUAUUGGAAACGAUAGCUAAUACCGCAUAACAAUGGAUGACACAUGUCAUUUAUUUGAAAGGGGCAAUUGCUCCACUACAAGAUGGACCUGCGUUGUAUUAGCUAGUAGGUGAGGUAAUGGCUCACCUAGGCGACGAUACAUAGCCGACCUGAGAGGGUGAUCGGCCACACUGGGACUGAGACACGGCCCAGACUCCUACGGGAGGCAGCAGUAGGGAAUCUUCGGCAAUGGGGGCAACCCUGACCGAGCAACGCCGCGUGAGUGAAGAAGGUUUUCGGAUCGUAAAGCUCUGUUGUAAGUCAAGAACGGGUGUGAGAGUGGAAAGUUCACACUGUGACGGUAGCUUACCAGAAAGGGACGGCUAACUACGUGCCAGCAGCCGCGGUAAUACGUAGGUCCCGAGCGUUGUCCGGAUUUAUUGGGCGUAAAGCGAGCGCAGGCGGUUUGAUAAGUCUGAAGUUAAAGGCUGUGGCUCAACCAUAGUUCGCUUUGGAAACUGUCAAACUUGAGUGCAGAAGGGGAGAGUGGGAUUCCAUGUGUAGCGGUGAAAUGCGUAGAUAUAUGGAGGAACACCGGUGGCGAAAGCGGCUCUCUGGUCUGUAACUGACGCUGAGGCUCGAAAGCGUGGGGAGCGAACAGGAUUAGAUACCCUGGUAGUCCACGCCGUAAACGAUGAGUGCUAGGUGUUGGAUCCUUUCCGGGAUUCAGUGCCGCAGCUAACGCAUUAAGCACUCCGCCUGGGGAGUACGACCGCAAGGUGGAAACUCAAAGGAAUUGACGGGGGCCCGCACAAGCGGUGGAGCAUGUGGUUUAAUUCGAAGCAACGCGAAGAACCUUACCAGGUCUUGACAUCCCGAUGCUAUUUCUAGAGAUAGAAAGUUACUUCGGUACAUCGGUGACAGGUGGUGCAUGGUUGUCGUCAGCUCGUGUCGUGAGAUGUUGGGUUAAGUCCCGCAACGAGCGCAACCCCUAUUGUUAGUUGCCAUCAUUCAGUUGGGCACUCUAGCGAGACUGCCGGUAAUAAACCGGAGGAAGGUGGGGAUGACGUCAAAUCAUCAUGCCCCUUAUGACCUGGGCUACACACGUGCUACAAUGGUUGGUACAACGAGUUGCGAGUCGGUGACGGCGAGCUAAUCUCUUAAAGCCAAUCUCAGUUCGGAUUGUAGGCUGCAACUCGCCUACAUGAAGUCGGAAUCGCUAGUAAUCGCGGAUCAGCACGCCGCGGUGAAUACGUUCCCGGGCCU